UAUACUCUAGGAACUUGUGCGGCCUCA
rnacentral:piRNA from 1 species